rnacentral:pre_miRNA from 1 species
UAAAUACUUCCUCCGUCCGAAAAUACUUGUCAUCAAAAUGGACAAAAAGGGAUGUAUCUAAAACUAAAAUACAUCUAGAUACAUCCCCUUUUAUUCAUUUUGAUGACAAGUAUUUUCAGACGGAGGGAGUAACCA